GGUUUCGUAGUCUAGUUGGUCUUAUGGCAUCUCGUUAACACCGAGAAGGUCCCCGGUUCAAGCCCGGGCGAAAUCA